GAAUUCUAGAAAAUUCAAGAGGAAGAAGAGAAGAGAAACUUGAAGCUAGAGAGAGAGCUCGAUUUUGGGGGAGAAAAAGAAAGCCCAAAACGUUAUCAAACAGCCCCAAAAUUUUAGCCGCACUACGAGAGCUUCCGAGGCAAGUUUUGGCGAGUUUUGGUGAAUUUUGAGCAAGAUUUUUGGGAAGGCCAAGAUUUAAGUGGGAUUGACUAAGGAAGCUGACAAGGUAUGUAAGGCUUACCCUUUUCUUUCAAGGCAUGAUUCAGAUGUUAUGAUUUUAUAAGUGCUUCCAUAUUUUCUUUGUUUUCAAAAGCUAGGUGUCAAUGGUCCCAAGGAAAUGACUACUUUUCCUAUAACCCGUCAAUGUUUUCCAAAAUGUCUAUAGUUUCCCAAAACAAAGGUUUAUAGUAUUACAAGAUUUUAUGACAAUAACGAUGGAUAUGUUUUACAAACGACAUUGAUGAUGUCGAGGAUGAGAAUAUGUCUAUGAUGGCUAUGAUAAGAACGGCUUCAUGUAUGUAAGGUUUACUCUUCUUUCUCUUGGCAUGUUUUGACAUAAGUAUAUAGAGCUACUCUUUCUUUUGGCAUGGGUUUUAUGAAACAAGUAUAUGACAUUUUAUACAAUUUCAAGGAAGUCCUAUUCGUAGAGCCACUAGGAUGACCAAUUUUCUUGAGUUUCCAAAGGAUAUUUUCUCGUGCUUAGAUACGUGUAUAUGAUUCCAAAAGUUUUAUUUGAUAUAAUCCAUGGUAAUUUUCGAAAGGUACUUGAUAUGACUCUUGUCUUGAUUCUUUUGAAUCACAGCUCAUUCCGAUUAUUCUAUGAGUCUUGAAAAUUGGUCCUAUGUGCAUAUGUAUACGAUUUGGCGCCUUACGAGAUUGUGACCUUAUUCUACGUUCUCUUAAUAUUAUCCUUCGUGGAUAGUCUCAUCUUAUAAUAAUUGUUCCUUCAAGGUGAGACAAAGUGACCAUGGUUAGUCUAUAAUACAAUCGGAGGUUACCGACCUUCCGUCACUCCGACAGAUACAUGACUUUCGUUGAGCUCUCCUGCAUGCUGUCUAUAUGUAUAUGUAUAUGUAUAUGUAUAUGUAUAUAGGGGAUAUGGGGAAGGUUCAUAUGUGGCGCUAUAGACGCAUUGCCACCUGGUUAGUUGGCGUAAUUUUCAUCCAGGACGCGGGAUGCCCGGACUCGGGACAUAUGUGGGCGAUAUGACAUGUUCUAUUUUCUAUGGAUAUGAAAAAGAAAUGUUUUUAAAGGAAAAAAGACAAGCAUGCAUGGCAUCCUACUUAAAAGGCACUCAUAUGUACAGGUUACUCUCUUAUCUCACUAUUUGUUCUAUGAUUCUAUGAUAUGGCUGUUCAUACCUUAUGUUCUUUGUUAUGCUGAUUUUCAUGCCUUACAUACUCGGUACAUUACUCGUACUGACCCCCUUUUCUCCGGGGGCUGCGUUUCAUGCCGCGCAGGUACACCCAGACGAGUAGAAGCUAUUAUAGAAGAUGUUCCAGCAGGCUUAGCAACUCCACUUGUUCCUGGAGUGCUUCUUAGUCAGAGUAUAUGCGCUAUGGUGUUUCGUUCGAAGUUAGAGACUUUGCAGACAGAGUCGUGGGUAUAGAGUGUCAGCUUUGUAAGCGGCGUCACCAGCCAAUAUGUUAUUAUGUCGUAUGUCACGAGUUAUAUGGGAUGAUAGAUUUUCGAAAGCAAGAUUUGCAAAGCUUAGCUAUGUUUUUUUUCAUUUCUUUUGAUGUACAAGUCUAAAUAGAUUAAGUAUGUAAUAUGAGGUAACAGGUUCGCUCGACUCCGAGCAUGGGGUCGGGUGCCCAUCACACCCUAUUAAGAUCGGGGUGUGACACCGUCCUUGGACGCUACAUUGUUUCAUGAUGUAGGAUCGGAGACACGGGUUUGUAGUUCCGAGCAGCAGUGAACUAACAACGGUUAGCAUUGUGGUGAGCUUUCCAUCUUCCGGAAAGAAGACUUUCCUUUCAUCAGUAUUUUCUUUGGUUUUCAUGGUAUGUCGGGGAUCAUGUCCCGACGUAGACAUUGUUAUUCUUUUAGUAGAGGUUUUGUAGACCUAUGGUUAG